GGCUGAAAUUCGCCUUCAUGAAGCCGGAAUUGCUAGUAAUGGCAGGUCAGCAUACUGCCGUGAAUACGUUCCCGGGCCUUGUACACACCGCCCGUCACACCAUGAGAGUUGGGAUACCCGAAGCCUGUGAGCCAACUUUUUAAGAGGCAGCAGUCGAAGGUAGAAUCAAUGAUUGGGGUGAAGUCGUAACAAGGUAUC
rnacentral:rRNA from 1 species